UACGUAGGUGGCGAGCGUUGUCCGGAUUUACUGGGCGUAAAGGGCGUGCAGGCGGUUUGUUAAGUGCAGGGUGAAAGCUCCCGGCUCAACUGGGAGAGGUCCUUGCAUACUGGCGAACUCGAGGGAGGCAGAGGAAAGUGGAAUUCCCGGUGUAGUGGUGAUAUGCGUAGAUAUCGGGAGGAACACCUGUGGCGAAGGCGGCUUUCUGGGCCUUACCUGACGCUGAGACGCGAAAGUGUGGGGAGCGAACAGG
rnacentral:rRNA from 1 species